UUUAACGAGAGUUUGAUCCUGGCUCAGGACGAACGCUGGCGGCGUGCCUAAUACAUGCAAGA
rnacentral:ncRNA from 1 species